rnacentral:rRNA from 1 species
AACGAACGCUGGCGGCAUGCCUAACACAUGCAAGUCGAACGAGAUCUUCGGGUCUAAUGGCGCACGGGUGCGUAACGCGUGGGAAUCUGCCCUUUGGUUCGGAAUAACAGUUGGAAACGACUGCUAAUACCGGAUGAUGACGAAAGUCCAAAGAUUUAUCGCCAGAGGAUGAGCCCGUGUAGGAUUAGCUAGUUGGUGUGGUAAAGGCGCACCAAGGCGACGAUCCUUAGCUGGUCUGAGAGGAUGAUCAGCCACACUGGGACUGAGACACGGCCCAGACUCCUACGGGAGGCAGCAGUGGGGAAUAUUGGACAAUGGGCGAAAGCCUGAUCCAGCAAUGCCGCGUGAGUGAUGAAGGCCUUAGGGUUGUAAAGCUCUUUUACCCGGGAUGAUAAUGACAGUACCGGGAGAAUAAGCUCCGGCUAACUCCGUGCCAGCCGCCGCAGUAA